rnacentral:rRNA from 1 species
GACGAACGCUGGCGGCGUGCCUAAUACAUGCAAGUAGAACGCACAGUUUAUACCGUAGCUUGCUACACCAUAGACUGUGAGUUGCGAACGGGUGAGUAACGCGUAGGUAACCUGCCUGGUAGCGGGGGACAACUAUUGGAAACGAUAGCUAAUACCGCAUAAUAUUGAUUAUUGCAUGAUAAUUGAUUGAAAGAUGCUAUUGCAUCACUACCAGAUGGACCUGCGUUGUAUUAGCUAGUAGGUGAGGUAACGGCUCACCUAGGCGACGAUACAUAGCCGACCUGAGAGGGUGAUCGGCCACACUGGGACUGAGACACGGCCCAGACUCCUACGGGAGGCAGCAGUAGGGAAUCUUCGGCAAUGGACGAAAGUCUGACCGAGCAACGCCGCGUGAGUGAAGAAGGUUUUCGGAUCGUAAAGCUCUGUUGUAAGAGAAGAACGGGUGUGAGAGUGGAAAGUUCACACUGUGACGGUAUCUUACCAGAAAGGGACGGCUAACUACGUG